AUUGAACGCUGGCGGCAUGCUUUACACAUGCAAGUCGAACGGCAGCGCGGGCUUCGGCCUGGCGGCGAGUGGCGAACGGGUGAGUAAUGCAUCGGAACGUGCCCAGUAGUGGGGGAUAGCCCGGCGAAAGCCGGAUUAAUACCGCAUACGACCUGAGGGUGAAAGCGGGGGACCGAAAGGCCUCGCGCUAUUGGAGCGGCCGAUGUCGGAUUAGCUAGUUGGUGGGGUAAAGGCUUACCAAGGCGACGAUCCGUAGCUGGUCUGAGAGGACGACCAGCCACACUGGGACUGAGACACGGCCCAGACUCCUACGGGAGGCAGCAGUGGGGAAUUUUGGACAAUGGGGGCAACCCUGAUCCAGCCAUGCCGCGUGCGGGAAGAAGGCCUUCGGGUUGUAAACCGCUUUUGUUCGGGAAGAAAUUCUCUGGGCUAAUACCCCGGGGGGAUGACGGUACCGGAAGAAUAAGCACCGGCUAACUACGUG
rnacentral:rRNA from 1 species